rnacentral:rRNA from 1 species
AUACGUAGGUGGCAAGCGUUGUCCGGAAUUAUUGGGCGUAAAGCGCAUGUAGGCGGUAAUUUAAGUCUGUCGUGAAACUGCGGGGCUCAGCCCCGUAUGGCGAUGGAAACUGGGUUACUUGAGUGCAGGAGAGGAAAGGGGAACUCCCAGUGUAGCGGGUAAAUGCGUAGAUAUUGGGAAGAACACCGGUGGCGAAGGCGCCUUUCUGGACUGUGUCUGACGCUGAGAUGCGAAAGCCAGGGUAGCGAACGGGAUUAGAUACCCCGGUAGUCCUGGCCGUAAACGAUGGGUACUAGGUGUGGGAGGUAUCGACCCCUUCCGUGCCGGAGUUAACGCAGUAAGUACCCCGCCUGGGGAGUACGGCCGCAAGGCUUAAACUCAAAUGAAUCGACGGGG